AACGAACGCUGGCGGCAUGCCUAACACAUGCAAGUCGAACGAGACCUUCGGGUCUAGUGGCGCACGGGUGCGUAACGCGUGGGAACCUGCCCUUAGGUUCGGAAUAACUCCCCGAAAGGGGUGCUAAUACCGGAUAAUGUCUUCGGACCAAAGAUUUAUCGCCUUUGGAUGGGCCCGCGUUGGAUUAGCUAGUUGGUAGGGUAAAAGCCUACCAAGGCGACGAUCCAUAGCUGGUCUGAGAGGAUGAUCAGCCACACUGGGACUGAGACACGGCCCAGACUCCUACGGGAGGCAGCAGUGGGGAAUAGUGGACAAUGGGCGAAAGCCUGAUCCAGCAAUGCCGCGUGAGUGAUGAAGGCCUUAGGGUUGUAAAGCUCUUUUACCCGGGAUGAUAAUGACAGUACCGGGAGAAUAAGCACCGGCUAACUCCGUGC
rnacentral:rRNA from 1 species